CGACAAGAAAACAUGAAAAAAUUCAUAGAAUGUAUCAUUCGACAAAGAGGGGUUGCUAUAGGUUUCAGAUUACAUACACAAGUGAAAGAUAAAAAAAAAUUCAAAAAACUACAAUAAGCAGAAAAUAAAAUGAGCCCAACAUGGUGCACUUUCUAUCCCCCUCAAUGUCUUCGUAUUACUCGCUUGGGAUUCAAAGCAACAUAAUAUACUUUCUUCGGGUAAGAAAUCUGGAGUUCAUGUUGAUAUAUAGAAGUUCCUGGACAGAAAAAUGAAUCGAAAUAAAAUUUGUUUCCUUGAGGGAAAUUAUUUUCACACUUUGUCUAGAUUUGUAUCUGAAGCCAUCAAAUUUGUCAGUGUCUCUUCCAAAAACCUAGAAAGGAAAGCAAAGCAGAAAAAUAGUACUUUGUUAACGUAAUGAAUUAGUUUGUCCAUUUGCUUGAACCAAGACUCAGCAUUUUGAUAUUGGAAGUCAUCUUCCAUGUUCCACAUCAUAUCAUUGGCUUAAGUAUCGUUUGCCUAUGUAAGAAAGACCAAAUGGUCAACUGCAUAUGCUGUCUUACCUUCUAAAUGAAUGCACUGCUCAAUAAGAAGAUUUAGCAACUGUUGAAUUUAAGGAAUAAUAUAUGCGUAAAUAGCACAAGACAUCACUACCUUUCAAUGUCAUUGUGCAAAACAUCUCUAAUUUUCAUUUUUUGACAUUUUCAUCCCUAUUUCCCACAUUUCAUUGCUCAAAAGAUCAUUUUCAUCCAUUUUUGACGAUUUUACCCUCAUUUCGAAUGGGGGGAAAAAAAGAAAAGAAAAGGAAAAAUAGAGGACCAUUGCAACUAUAAUACCAAAUUUUCAAAAGAUUACAAAUUACUCACAAAAUAUAGUACAUCUAUAUCAACCUUUUAUCCCCUCCACCAUAGUCCAUACAUACGGAGAUUUCGCCGUCAUCCUCCUCAAUAUUCCGUACAUACGCGACCUUCCAAAAUUUUUCUAGUCUUCAGUUAUGUCAUUUAUUCACAUUUACCAAAUGCUUCUGGAUACCCUUUUGUUUUCCAAAAAUUUCAGGCAUGGAAGAUAUCUUCUUAAUAAAAAUUUAAUAAAGAUGAGAUUUUUAUCAUAUUUCAGUAACCCCAUUUUGAAUUCCCCACCAAUUAAUGCAAAGAACUGUAGAAAUUACUGUUCGGGGAAUCAUAGGAGUGAAGAUUCCACCGAGUGGACUGAGGAAAUACAAUAUUUAGACGAGUCAAGAAGUAUUAUUUUCUCUGGUAAGGGAAUAAGAUCGGUCAAGCCAGAUGUUGAUGACCAUGUAAUGGUUGGAGGGAUUAAAAAGCCCAUGUUGAAUGCCUCUGCCGUUGCUAAGAUGGUUGAGUUUGUAAAGAGGUGGAGACGGAAGCCUGAUAUGAAGUGGAGGGGAUAAAAUGAUGGAAUAAAUUUGUUAUAUUUUGUGAGUGAUUUGUAAUUUUUAAAAAUAUAGGGUUAUAGAUGCAAUUAGUUCUCUAUGUUUUCUUUUCUUUUCUUUUUGUUUUAUUUGAAAGGAGAGUAAAAUCGUUAAAAAUGGAUGAAAAUGAUUUUUACGCAAUAAAAGAUGAAAAUAGAGAUGAAAAUAUCAAAAAAUGAAAGGUAGUGACGUUUUGCACAAUGAUAUUGAAAGGUAGGGACGUUUUGUGCUAUUUAUCUAUAAAAGAAAUAUUGAAAUUUACUUGAAUCAUUGCAGCACUGAUAAAACCAUUAACUCAUGUGUCGACAUUGAAGUCAAAAAGAAGGAAAUUAUCUGCAUUUUGACAAGUUGAGAAGCUUAAGUAUAAGCUUAUACAACUGAUAAGUGUAUUUUAUAUACUUAUUCAAGAUUUCAAAACGAUGAUAUUUAAUGACUUCUUUGAUAAAUUAUGGUCUAAAUUAUUGUAUUUGGUGUUGAAUAGGUGAAAUUCAAUUAUGGUACCAAAAAGUAGAAGAAGCAAAAGUGGGCAAAAUUGGAGAAAAGGGCUAAGUUGUAAGAGAUCCAUAGUUGGGGGACUAAAGUGUAAAUACUCAAAAGUUGUGUCGGACCUCAUGAUGAAGAUUUAAGAGUUCUCGAAGCCAACUGGAUAAAGAAAGACAUCAAAGGGAUUAAAUAUAAUCAAAGUAUGAUCACACAUCAAGUUCAAACUGAAAAAAUAAAAAUAAAAAUAAAAAUUUAUGCACCAUUUUCAGCCUCACAUUGAGACCCAAUUUUGUCAUAGAAAAUGAUAAAACUUGAAAAUGAUAUUUGAUGCGAAGUUGUAUCCCUUUAAGUUAGCUUUCCCACGCAUCUUGAAUCGCCUCAAUCGGACAUUGAAAAAGAAAUUUAUGAUAAAAAUACUGAAAUAGGUGUUGUCUGUCUGAAAUGUGGCCGUGGCACCACUUCAGGGCACUGCAACGCUCGGAUAUCCAGAGACGUGGCGGCACAGUGCCAUCCACCACCUAUUUUUGACGCGAUGCUGCAGCGCUGGAUUCUAGGCGCCGCGGAACCACCAAUUCGUAACCUAAGCGAGAUUUCAGCCCCAUUUUGAAGUCAUGAUGAAAACCUUACCUUCUACACACGACAAGACACCUAUAAAUACAAUUUUUCCACACUUUUGUAGGGGAUUUUAAACAUUGAGAAGCAAGAGAAUAUAAUUGGAGAAUUGAAAAAGAAAUUCAAAGGAGGAAAACAGAAAGCAAUUGAAAGUUUAAUGCAUUAAUUGGAAGAAAAAGAAGAUAUUUCUUAUUCUAUAUUCUUAUUCAAAACCUGAUGAUAUCUUCCAUAAUAACUUCUUAUUUUACUUUCAUUACUAUGAGUAGCUAAAUAUAAUUUUAAGACGAAUAAUAUAACUGAUUUAAGAACCUUUAUUUCUUUUAUUUGAGAUUCUUGUUUGCUAUAAUUACAUGUGUGGAUUUUAAUUAUGUUCUUAAUGCCUUUAAUUUUUUUGCCAAUUAUUCAAUGAUUUCGUGAACAAUAAUUGCGUAGAAAUGUGAAUUUUUGUUUAGACCAUAUAUUAAAAUUCGAUAUUUUAAUAUAAUGUGUAGAGAUACCAAUAUUAAUUAUUGUGGUCGUAAAUAAAUUCUUGGAACUAUUAGUGCGUUUAACUAAAUUUAAUUCACAUAGAAAUCUGGAAUUGAAGUAGUUAAAUGAGUUCAAUGAAAAUUUGAAAAGAGUAAAUUGAAUAUAGUAGAAAAUUUUGAUCAAAGACUACUUUAGAUUUUAUAAAUCUCGAUAUUAGAAGUAAAUGUAACCAAUAGGUGAAAUUGUUUCGCCCUAACAUUCAUUUAUUGUUUGAAUUCCAAAUCACUUUUCGUUGCAUCCAUUCUCAUUUUAAGUAGUUAGAUAAAAAUCACAAUCGAUCAUCAUUUUUGUUUAUUUUCAUCAAAUAAUGGUUAAGGAAAAUUGAAUUAAGUGCUAAAGUAUAGUCCUUAUGAAAUCAACAACUAGGACUCUUAGGUUCACUUUACUACUUGUUACGAUUCGUAUACUUGCGGGAUAAAAUCGACAACAACAACCAUAAAGAUUGUUGGGACUAACUAAUGUUUGGUUGAAGAUAGAACCUUGACCAGGAUGGAGUCAUCAUCUACUUCAAAAUGGAAACCAAUGGUGAACUAUAAUGAACAUGAAAUGAUUCGGUAAGUAUCUGCAAGGAUUCAGACCUCCAAUUAAUAAAAAACGAAGCAAUUUAAGAAAAAAUGUGUACGGAUCACCAGUUUCAUUCAUAACCUGAGAAGAGGAGCCAAAUGUCAUGGAAGCCUGCGAUAUAAAUUUAAGUGAUUUAUCUGCAUCAAGUUUUACCUUGUAUUGAUAAUCAAUCCAUGCAAAAUGAAUGGAAUGAAAUCCCAACUAUAGAAACAAAAAAACAAAAAAUAAUUAAUUAAAGAUGGAAGUAAGAAUAAAAAAUUUGUAAUAUAUAAACAUAGAAUAUCCAGUCCAUGGAUUGUGUUAAGUUGACGAUUCUUCGAAUUUCAACAACUGUCUUAUGAAUACCUCAGCCCCAAGUAGGUAAUCUUGAAUUGCAGAGUUCCCAAAUGGAUUGAUCUGCCACGAUAAGUCUUAUUGAACUGACUCUUUAUUAGUUGAUGGAAAGGGUUUGUUUUGUCAAUCAUGUCUAUAUAAUGAGUAGUUGCUUCAUCAUGCAUACUACACCAGCCACCAAGAUAGUCCAUGAAUAUUUUUCUAAAUUGGAAUGAAUAAAACACAAUUGUAAGCCUCUAUAUAUUUGGAAACAAAAGAGGAUUCUUUUGAUUUCUAUUCGAUGUGGGAAUCAUGUGAAUUCCAUUAAAAGUAGGAAAGUUAAAUCGUAUUCUAUGUGGUUGGUAAAAAUUCAAUCCUUAUUCUAUAUAGGACAAUCCUAAGUCAAUCCAUCUUUAGUAUUUUACUUGGCAGAGAUAAUACAAACCCGAGUUAGUCUUAACCUGCAGAUCAUUUAUCAACAGAAGCAGAAACUUCCAAUACAUCAAGUGAGGAAGAGAUCGUGUAUGCUUGCAAAAGAUCAAAUCUUUACCUGCUUGCUUUCAAGAUGCUCAAUUUUUCAUUCCUGCAAAUUAAUCAACAAUAAAGAUAUGCAUGAAUAACUCAUACGGCAAUACUAUUCAGCAAGUCAGUAGAAUUUAAAUUUUAAAACACUAUGACAGCUUACCAAGCUGGAUACCAUCUCAUUGAUUAAAUUAAUGUCAUGCCCAAUCGAUUAAGACUAGAUCUCAUUUCACUUACCUACAUAAUAUUAGUAAGAGUAUCAAUCAAAGAAAAUAUAUUUGUUUUGAUGCAAGUUGUGUAGUAACUGUUAUUUUCAUCUAUUGAACUUCCUCACUGAGAAACCCCAAACUUCAACAAGCAUAUGAACACAGAUGAGCAUCCUAAGUAUGUAACUCAAUCCUUGCCCACAGUCAGCCUAUUCUUACGCAUGAAAGUCAUCUAACAGACAACAAAGACAAAGUUCACGACUCUUUUGAAUUGUUAAGACUUCUUAUCUGCCUUUACUUCAAAGAAAUUUGCCUAAUAUUUGAGAAGUAGUGGGAUGUGAAGACUAAAAUCAUGUCGUGCAUAAAGGUUAUAAAAUUUUUUGAGGUUAAAUUGAUGCAGUGCACCUAAUGAUAUUUUCAACAUUUACUUCUUUUUCUCCCUUUUGUUUCUGUAGUGGUUUCUUUCAAAUAUUCUUCAGUUUGUCCCUUGUUGGUUUAGGGAGGAGUCAUCAAUGAAAACUCUAAGAUGCUUCUCUCAUUAUAUUCAUUGCUUAGAAUCUUACUGAUAUCUUCAUAUUAUUAAAUAUAAAUGUGAUAGUUUUUAUUUCAUCAUAGCAGAAGUUAAUCAUUGAAUCUGAAGAAGCCAUAAAUGUAUGAACCAUAAGACCUGAAAAGCAACUGUAGCAUGUGCAAUUGCACAUUAAAAUUAUCACAUCAAAGACAGAAUAUGUCAUACAUCAUUUACAAUAAGCUUUGAUGUUUGCCUCUGCUCAUCUAGGUUUUAUGACUUUGCAGCAUUGAAAUCCCAAGCAACAGAUAUGGAAGCUGAGAAAAAUAUCAAAAUUAAAUUCCAAUAAUUUAUUAUUAAGCCUAAUAUCAAGGCUGAUACCAUAGCCGAAAACCUCACAAAAAGAUAAGUACAGAAAAGAAAAGACUUCUAAGGACUUGAUCAAGCUUUGUGAACUUUGAAUAUUGAGAUCUAUCAAAACAAAAAGCAUGGACAUCUUCGUUGCAUAUGAAAGAGUUUACAUUUCAACAAUUUUCACUCCUAGGAUCUUAUGGUCAUCAAUAAACAUUCAGUAAAGAACCUUCCACACCUUCCCUAAUUAUCACAUGGACACGACUUAAUACAACAAAAUCAUAUUUCAUACUUAUUUCAGCUGGGCAGCCAAAUAUCAAAGUAACUAAAAACACAAGAAAAUGGUUGGAUAGAUGUAUCAUCAUCCCUAAAAUUUUCAUCUCCCUUGUUCCCCAUAGUUAUCCCACUCGGGAUGUUUUUUCAGAUUCAUGUAAGACAAUAAAAAAUGAAAUGCAAACAAAAACUUUAAUGUGAUAAAAAUUCUUGACAAAUACUAUACAACAUCACAAUCCCCUCAUGCCCAGAUAAAUGAAAAUAUAGCAUUUAAACAUUUAGACCAUCUCCAACCCUACACCAAAAUUUGCACCAUUUUGCAUUAAAAUUUGCACCAAACUAAAAAUCAUCUUCAAUCAAUCACACCAAAAUUUGUAUCAAAUGGUCAGUGUUUAAUCAUUUUCUUCACUUUUUUUCAUUCUUAGUAAUUUAUUUAUAUGAAAAAUUAUUUAUUUAUUUAAUCUAAAACUUCAUAAUUUAAUUAUGUUCCGUUAACGAAAAUAUUAAAUUCAUUAAUGAAUUUAAUGAAUGUAGUACAAUUAAUAGAAAAAUCACAACUAAGAAAUAUUAAAUAAUAA
rnacentral:lncRNA from 1 species